rnacentral:rRNA from 1 species
CCUACGGGAGGCAGCAGUGAGGAAUCUUUCGCAAUGGGCGAAAGCCUGACGGAGCGACACCGCGUGUGGGAUGAAGUCCUUCGGGAUGUAAACCACUGUCGGGAGGAACGAAUACUCGGCUUGACCGAGGGUGACGGUACCUCCAAAGGAAGCACCGGCUAACUCCGUGCCAGCAGCCGCGGUAA